UGUCCCAUAAAUCGAGACUAGUAUGAAUGGCUAAACGAGGUCUUAACUGUCUCUUACAGGCAAUCGGUGAAAUUGAUCUCCCUGUACAAAAGCAGGGAUAAACCCAUAAGACGAGAAGACCCUGUGGAACUUCAAAACCAGCAACCACCUUAGAUCACAUACUCCCCUACUAGGUUCACUGCCACAUAAGCCUCUGGUCUGCGUUUUUCGGUUGGGGCGACCUUGGAGCAAAACAAAACCUCCAAAAAUUAGACCACACCUCUAGACCAAGAGCAACCUCUCGACGUGCUAAUAGUACCCAGACCCAAUAUAAUUGAUCAAUGGACCAAGCUACCCCAGGGAUAACAGCGCAAUCUCCUCCGAGAGUCCGUAUCGACGAGGAGGUUUACGACCUCGAUGUUGGAUCAGGACAUCCUAGUGGUGCAGCCGCUACUAAGGGUUCGUUUGUUCAACGAUUAACAGU
rnacentral:rRNA from 1 species